UACGGGGGGGGCAAGCGUUGUUCGGAAUUACUGGGCGUAAAGGGCUCGUAGGCGGCCAACUAAGUCAGACGUGAAAUCCCUCGGCUUAACCGGGGAACUGCGUCUGAUACUGGAUGGCUUGAGUUCGGGAGAGGGAUGCGGAAUUCCAGGUGUAGCGGUGAAAUGCGUAGAUAUCUGGAGGAACACCGGUGGCGAAGGCGGCAUCCUGGACCAACACUGACGCUGAGGAGCGAAGGCCAGGGGAGCAAACGGG
rnacentral:rRNA from 1 species